rnacentral:rRNA from 1 species
GUGGCGCARCUAACGCAUUAAGUUGACCCCCUGGGGAGUACGGCCCCCAGGAUAAAACUCCAAUGAAUUGGCGGGGGCCCGCCCAAGCGGGGGAACAUGUGGUUUAAUUUGAAGCAACCCGAAAAACCUUACCCGGCCUUGACAUGCAGARAACUUUCCCRAAAUGGAUUGGUGCCUUCSGGAACUCUGACACAGGUGCUGCAUGGCUGUCCUCAGCUCCUGUCCUGRGAUGUUGGGUUAAAUCCCGUAACGAGCGCAACCCUUGUCCUUAAUUACCACCACGUUAUGGUGGGCACUCUAAGGAGACUGCCGGUGACAAACCGGAGGAAGGUGGGGAGGAGGUCAAGUCWUCAUGGCCCUUACGGCCUGGGCUACCCCCGUGCUACAAUGGUCGGUACAAAGGGUUGCCAAGCCCCGAGGCGGAGCUAAUCUCACAAAACCGAUCCUAUUCCGGAUGGCAUUCUGCAAUUGGAYUCCGUGAAUUCGGAAUCSCUKGUAAUCCCGAAUCAGAAUGUCGCGGUGAAUACGUUCCCGGGCCUUGUACACACCGCCCGUCACACCAUGGGAGUGGGUUGCACCAGAAGUAGCUAGUCUAACCUUCGGG